GAAACGCCGCCAGAGAAUGCGAGGGUGUAUCACCAGCGUGCUAGACACGUGGGAGUCGCACUGGGGGUUUUUUCAUUU
rnacentral:ncRNA from 19 species